rfam:Helianthus annuus unplaced genomic scaffold HanXRQChr00c0353, whole genome shotgun sequence.
GGUUGCGAUCAUACCAACUAUGCACGGAUCCCAUCAGAACUCGCAGUUAAGGUGCUUGGGCGAGGUAGUACUAGGAUGGGUGACCCUGGGAGUCCUGUGUUGCACCCU